AACUUUGCCGCCAAAGAACUGCCCUAGGUUGGCAUUGGGGGAGGGGACGAUUAAGUGGAUUCAAAAUCAUGGAGACAGUGGGAAGAAGUUCAAGCGGUUGCUGCGAGGUUCUUCCAUAUCCAGUAGGGUUGUGAUUGAGGAUGAGGAAGUGAAGAAGGGGAAGAAAUUAUUAUAUUUAUGCCUUUCGGCUUUCAAUCAUUGCAUUUAUCAGACAUUUCAAUCGAAUUCAGUACUUUCGAAUUCUGUACUUAAUUAUUCAAAAGUUACAACAGAAUUUCUUAGCUUUCAAAUUCACCACUGAAUUUCUCACUGCUUAUUUUUGGUUUUCAGAACAGUUUCUUAGUCAAGAUUAUUUUCCUGAUACAUGCAGCGUUUCUGAUUUUCUUUCGGUACUGAACUCCCAUCAAGAAGUUCCUGAGAGAGCUCUCAGAAGCUAAAUCUGAAAAUGAGUCAACUUUGAAAACGAUUUUGCAGAGACUAGUCAGACGUUUAUGAAGUGGCGACGGCUGGUUUCCACAAACGCAGGUGAUCGGAUUAUCCACAAUCUCCGUUAGUUUUGAGUGUCCAAGAUUUUGAUUUACUUGUAGGAAGUUGACGAAUUCUCAGUGAUGGUCAUGAAUAUAGUUCCAAUUAACUUUUUGCGAUGAAGUUGCUUAUCCCAUGUUGCAGAGCUGGGUGUAUUGGUCAGGAAUGAACCUUUUAAUAGUUUGCCCAGGCUGGGGAGACCUUUGGCCUUUUACCUGUGGCAGGCAAAAACAUUCUUGGUAGAACUUUCUGAAACUGCUUUUAUCCUGGUGCAAUUUUGUUGUUAGCAUGUUCAAACCAAUGGCUAAUCUAUGAUGGUUAAUACAAUCAUCAGCAACUGCUGAUUCAUUGGUUGCUAUGGAUGAGCUUGAGCAUGACAGCAAUUUCAGAUGGACAAGCCAUCCUAGAAUCACUUCUUGAGCAUUUUGUUAACGAGGUCCAGUGCAAGGGAAUGUUUUUAGCUCACUAUCACUGAUUAGCUGUAGACUAUGAGGUAAAUCUUUAAAAGUUUCAUGCCCCAAAAUCUGUGCUUUCUUCAGAUUAGUAGAUAAGACAGUUUGGCACUUCUAUGUCUCCAUGUUAACAAGGUGAAGUUUUGUUUAGUGGCUAUUUCAAGUGAUACAUUGUGACCUAUACUUGUGUGCAUAGGUCACAAGUACUUGUGUGCAGAAGUUUUGUUUAGUCCUUUCUUCAGAUUGGGUAUGAUUUAGGCAUCAAGUUGACAGAUCGCAUAAUGAAUCUAAAUACUUCAAGUUUCCUUCAAGUUUGUUUAUGGGCAUCUGUUCAGAAAAUGAAAAUUUGCAUCUAAUUUAUUUUCUUAAAUUACCAAUCAGUGUUUUUAAUAUUAUUGCCUUACCCUUAAGCUAUGUUCCACUUCUUGCUUGUAACAAUUUCGGGACUUCCCUGAUUCUAUGCUUUGAAAAACUGCUGCUGCUAAACUAAAUGGCAAGAAUUUGAGGCUGUAUGUGGAAAACACAGAAGAGGAUCAGAACACAGGAAGAGUGGUCUUCAUCCCGAAAUUAGUCAGCAAUAUCUCAAGCCUUCUGAAGGUAUUGGAAUGGGUUUCAUGGUUGAACUUCAACAUAGAGCAAGGAUACUUCUGCAGCAAAGCUGAUUGAAUCCCUCUCAACACCUACUUUGCUGUCUGCAGGUAUAUUUUUAAACUCACUGUUGUAAUACAGAAUCAUUCUUACUCAGCUUUGUUACUGAGACAUAGCCUUCAAUUUUCGGAAUCAUCUAAAACCAGAAUGGAAUUUUUUUCAUUACAUUUAAUUGAGCACGAAGUGUAAAUGAUUGUGCCAACAACUACUUUCCAUCCGCUCCCUUUAGGGACAUUCGGUAGAAUUGCUUUUUCAGUUGUAAUUAUAGUACAACCAAAAUCUCACUCUUUGUAAGUUGCGCCAGCUAACUCAUUUCCUGUAUCCAUGUAUAAAUAGUUGUCACAUUCAUGAAAACCGCGAGAGACGUUGAAUUAGUUUUAACUUGGUAA